GGACUACUCGGGUAUCUAAUCCUGUUUGCUCCCCACGCUUUCGCACCUCAGUGUCAGUCUGGGGCCAGGCAGUCGCCUUCGCCACUGGUGUUCUUUCCGAUCUCUACGCAUUUCACCGCUACACCGGAAAUUCCACUGCCCUCUCCCCGACUCUAGUCUUUCAGUUUCCAACGCCAUUCCUAGGUUAAGCCCAGGGAUUUCACAUCAGACUUAAAAUACUACCUACAUGCGCUUUACGCCCAGUAAUUCCGAUUAACGCUUGCACCCUCUGUAUUACCGCGGCUGCUGGCAC
rnacentral:rRNA from 1 species